CUUCACGAGGAUAUGCUUUUGUGGAGUAUGAGCCUGAGAAGGAGUUGUGUCGUGCUUACGAGGAUGCUCAUCAUUCAUUUAUUGAUGGUCGAGAGAUUAUUGUUGAUUAUAAGAGGCAACAAUUGAUGCCUUGAUGGAUGAUCAGGAGAUGGACUUGGUGGUAGGAAAGAAUCUGGACAACUUCGUUUUAGAGGAUGAGAAAGACCUUUUUGUGCUCCCUUUGCUCUCCUUCUUUUAGCAUGUUCCAAACAACUAUAACCAGCAGAGAGUAUCCAGCUUCCACCAGAGGGAAUAUUAUAU